GAACGCACCUUGCGCUCCUUGGUAUUCCGAGGAGCAUGCCUGUUUGAGUAUCAUGAACACUUCAACUCUCAUGGUUUGCCAUGAUGAGCUUGGACUUUGGAGGUCUUGCCGGCCUGUGGUCGGCUCCUCUCAAAUGGAUCAGCUUGCCAGUGUUUGGUGGCAUCAUGGGUGUGAUAACUAUCUACGCCUGUGGUUUUCCACCGGAUAACCUUCAGUGAUGGAGGUUCGCUGGAGCUCAUAAAUGUCUCUCCUCAGUGAAGACAGCCUUUUGAACGUUUGAUCUCAAAUCAGGUAGGACUACCCGCUGAACUUAAG
rnacentral:misc_RNA from 1 species